rnacentral:rRNA from 1 species
CACGUAGGGCGCAAGCGUUGUCCGGAAUUAUUGGGCGUAAAGAGCUCGUAGGCGGUCUGUUGCGUCCGCUGUGAAAACUCGGGGCUUAACCCCGAGCCUGCAGUGGAUACGGGCAGACUAGAGGUAGGUAGGGGAGAACGGAAUUCCUGGUGUAGCGGUGAAAUGCGCAGAUAUCAGGAGGAACACCGAUGGCGAAGGCAGGUCUCUGGGCAUUAACUGACGCUGAGGAGCGAAAGCAUGGGAGCGAACAGG